ensembl:lncRNA
GGACAGACUGCUGCCACGCCGGCUGGCUAUGAACACCACAUCAGCUGUCAUGGUUCACUGCCUGCGCCAGAAGACAGAGAAGGAACGCUUGGAGUUCACACUGAAAUUGAAUCCUGGAUGUCAGUGGAGAUCAUGGAGAGAUGAUGGGCUUAGAAGACAAGAUGGAUGAGAAAAUGGCCAGUUCCCUCCUGAUGAAGUUCCACUCUGUCCUUACGAGGCUCUAGCCAAUCUUGGGGAUUUUUUUGGGGAACUAAGUUCAGUGGCUUGCUUUAAUCACAGACAAAUUCAAUGACUGUAAACAAUAGUGGUGGCAGGGGUUCACUCCUGACUUUUCUACUCUUCCACUUUGUACCCCAGUAUAAGAAACUCCCAAUCAUUGUUCACCAAUGAAAAACCCCCCAUGGACCCAGGACAAGUUUCCAGGAGAAAGAUUUAUUUGGAGAGUUUAUACUUAGAAAAUAUUGAUUCCAUGAGCAACAAAGGCCCUCAGAUUUCUAUUUUGGAGACCUAAGACCUAGUAGUUAGGAGGCAAAUCAGAUAGGUGGGCACUGUGAACUUUGCACACUGGAGGUUUCCUGAUUUGCUGAUGCAUGGCCUUCUGUUGUCAACAGAUCCCUGAAUAGAUAGUCUGGGUUCUGUAAAUCCAAAACAAAGCAUUUGCUGAUGGGAAAAUCUACUGAGCCAUGUCUUUUUCAUUCCAUUUCCUAGAAAAUGCUUACUUGAAUGCUAUUUGAUAGGAUACAUGGUGUCAUUACCCCAAAGAACAUGGAGACAGAGAAAAGCAUAUUUCCUCUUGAAAGAGCUGAAGAUAGAAUUCACUAUACAACAGUGUCCUAGGUGUCAAGCAAAAGGAUCUUUUCUGCCACAAACGAUGGAAAAACGUAAUUUCAGACACCUGACAUCCAAACUUAAUGACAUACUGCAAGUGGAUCUAAAGAAUCCUCUCUGGUAUAAUGACCUGGUUGGUACAGAGCCUGGGUGGUUCAUGACCCAUGAAGUCUUGUGAACUGUCUGCAGGUGGGAGUGGUCACUUUCUGAUCUGUUUCAGAACAUCUCUGAGAAUAUGAUUCCAGCAUUUAUUGAGAAGUAUUUAGGACAAACAGAAAAAAGAAAGACCUUCUCCUGGACUUGUUUGGGGAUAUAUUUAUGGGUAUUCCAUCUGCUCUCAUGUCCCCUGUCCUCAGAAGUGAGUCCUAUGUUGUUUUGAAUGUGAGGACAUACAUUUAAUAAUGAUUCUCUAACUUGGCAACUUCUCAGUCAGGCUUAUACAUAUACACAUACACAUGCAAAUACACAUACAUGAACAUAUAUAUUUGUGUAUAUGUGCAUGUAUAUAUGCAUAUAUGUGCAUACAAGUAUAUACAUAGACACACACACACUCACACACAUAGUACAUGAGGCUAGGAUGUUACUCAGUUAGUAGAUAGCCUGGCUAGAAUGUGGAAUGCCCUGGUUCAAUCGUGAGUAUCAUAUAAGUCAGACCUAGUGGUACAUGUUUGUAAUCCCAGACUUGGAAGGAGGCAGGCAAGGAAGGUUAGGUCUUCUUUAUCCACAUAAUGAGUUCAACACCAUCCUGAUUUAAACAAAACACUUUUCUAAAGCAAAACCAAUAAAAGAAUGAAAACCCAGGGUCAUGAAUAGAAUUGGGUGAAAAGAAUUUCUUCCAGAUGAGAAAAUCCAAAUGGAGAGAAUGCAAAGAACUGCAAGGAAAGGAAGUAUAAAAAUAUUUGAUGUCUCUGGUACUCCUUUAUCCAUCUUAGUGAGCCCUGGUUGGAGAAAGUGGCAACUAGGCUAUUAUCUACCACAGAACCAUCUGUCAAUGACUUAGGCCUGGACAGAUAGAGUAUGAGGCUACACAUACUUCUUCCUAAAUGAAGCAAGAAUUGCUUGUGACUAUGGGUGCUCUAUUCCAGCAAUUGUUCUGUGGGUGCUUGGAAAGAAUAUACAUUUUGUUGG